rnacentral:rRNA from 1 species
UACGUAGGGGGCAAGCGUUGUUCGGAUUCAUUGGGCGUAAAGCGCACGUAGGCGGAUUGUUAAGUCGGGGGUGAAAUCCUGGAGCUCAACUCCAGAACUGCCUUCGAUACUGGCGAUCUCGAGUUCGGGAGAGGUGAGUGGAACUGCGAGUGUAGAGGUGAAAUUCGUAGAUAUUCGCAAGAACACCGGUGGCGAAGGCGGUUCUCUGGGCAUUACCUGACGCUGAGGAGCGAAAGUGUGGGGAGCGAACAGG